AGCGUUAUCGGAGUGACUGGGCGUAAGAGUUGCGUAGGUGGUUAUAUAAGUGAAUAGUGAAAUCUGGCGGCUCAACCGUACAGGCUAUUAUUCAAACUGUAUAACUCGAGAAUGGUAGAGGUAACUGGAAUUUCUUGUGUAGGAGUGAAAUCCGUAGAUAUAAGAAGGAACACCAAUGGCGUAGGCAGGUUACUGGACCAUUUCUGACACUGAGGCACGAAAGCGUGGGGAGCGAACCGGAUUAGAUACCCGGGUAGUCCACGCCGUAAACUAUGGAUACUAGCUGUUGGGGGUAUCGACCCCCCCAGUAGCGAAGCUAACGCGUUAAGUAUCCCGCCUGUGGAGUACGGUCGCAAGACUAAAACAUAAAGGAAUUGACGGGGACCCGCACAAGCGGUGGAUCGUGUUCUUUAAUUCGAUGAUAAACGAAAAACCUUACCAGGGUUUGACAUCCUUGGAAUCUCUGCGAAAGUAGAGAGUGCUUUAUUGAGCCAAGUGACAGCUGUUGCAUGGCCGUCGUCAGCUCGUGUCGUGAGAUGUUUGGUUAAGUCCAUCAACGAGCGCAACCCUUGUGAAUAGUUGUAUUUUUCUAUUCGGACUGCCCCGGUAACGGGGAGGAAGGAGGGGAUGAUGUCAGGUCAGUAUUACGCUUACAUCCUGGGCUAGAAACACGAUACAAUGGUUAGUACAAUGCGCAGCGAAGCCGCGAGGUGGAGCAAAUCGCAUCAAAGCUAAUCUCAGUUCGGAUUGGAGGCUGAAACUCGCCUCCAUGAAGUCGGAAUCGCUAGUAAUCGCAGAUCAGCAAGCUGCGGUGAAUACGUUCCCGGGUCU
rnacentral:rRNA from 1 species